rnacentral:rRNA from 1 species
CCUACGGGAUGCAGCAGUCGAGAAUCAUUCACAAUGGGGGAAACCCUGAUGGUGCGACGCCGCGUGGGGGAAUGAAGGUCUUCGGAUUGUAAACUCCUGUCAUGUGGGAGCAAAUUAUAAAGAUAGUACCACAAGAGGAAGAGACGGCUAACUCUGGGCCAGCAGCCGCGGUAAUACAGAGGGCUCAAGCGUUGUUCGGAAUUACUGGGCGUAAAGGGUGCGUAGGCUGUUUCGUAAGUCGUGUGUGAAAGGCGCGGGCUCAACCCGCGGACGGCACAUGAUACUGCGAGACUAGAGUAAUGGAGGGGGAACCGGAAUUCUCGGUGUAGCAGUGAAAUGCGUAGAUAUCGAGAGGAACACUCGUGGCGAAGGCGGGUUCCUGGACAUUAACUGACGCUGAGGCACGAAGGCCAGGGGAGCGAAAGGGAUUAGAUACCCGGGUAGUC